GACGAACGCUGGCGGCGUGCCUAAUACAUGCAAGUUGAGCGCUGAAGGUUGGUACUUGUACCAACUGGAUGAGCAGCGAACGGGUGAGUAACGCGUGGGGAAUCUGCCUUUGAGCGGGGGACAACAUUUGGAAACGAAUGCUAAUACCGCAUAAAAACUUUAAACACAAGUUUUAAGUUUGAAAGAUGCAAUUGCAUCACUCAAAGAUGAUCCCGCGUUGUAUUAGCUGGUUGGUGAGGUAAAGGCUCACCAAGGCGAUGAUACAUAGCCGACCUGAGAGGGUGUUCGGCAACAUUGGGACUGAGACACGGCCCAAAAUCCUACGGGAGGCAGCAGUAGGGAAUCUUCGGCAAUGGACGAAAGUCUGACCGAGCAACGCCGCGUGAGUGAAGAAGGUUUUCGGAUCGUAAAACUCUGUUGGUAGAGAAGAACGUUGGUGAGAGUGGAAAGCUCAUCAAGUGACGGUAACUACCCAGAAAGGGACGGCUAACUACGUG
rnacentral:rRNA from 1 species